UCAUAUUGUAAUAUGAGGUUUGGUGAUCUAUUAUUUUUUUAUUUGUUCUUCUCUUUCUCUGCAGGUUCCUUAAUCCCUGUCCUUUUAAAAAAACAGCACCUCAUUACAUCGGGAAAAAAAAGGCACUUUUAAGAGCCACAUUUGUUUUGUUUAUUGUCUUAUUUGUAUUGUUUAUUGUCUUGUUAUCUCUCUCUCUCUCUCUCUCUCACACACACACUCUCUCUCUAUCCCUCUCUCCCUCUCUCUCUCUCUCUCUCACUCUCUUUCCAUCCCUCUCUCCCUCUCUCUCUCCCCUACCAUCUGAGUGGUGGUUGCUUUUUAGAGGGACGGAGGACCUGGGUUGCUGCCUCUUCUUCACUCACUCUAAUCAACUGAAAGUGUAAAGAAUGACAAAGCCAAAAUUCAGGCCUUGCCCAAGCUGCCAAGUCCGUCAGCAGGCCAACCGCAAAACAUGCAGUGCUUGUUUUGCCACACUGCCAAGCAAGCGGUUAUUAAAAACUGCAAAAAUUUAUGAUGACUGGGGCCAGAGGGUCGUCAAAAACAAAAAUGCAUCUCGGGUGGUGGCCUCUGCCCAAAUAGCUGUCCAAAAACUUUCUGCCUUGGGCUAUAUGCCCAUAUUAUUUAUCAGCCAGAGGCACAAGGGCACAGGCAAGUUGAUGGCAGAUGUAGUCACGCAUCUGCCACCGACGCAAAACAACACACGUUUCUUAACCAGCAUGAAGAGGGCAUAUGACUUCAUAAUCAAACUGGAUGAUGUGCCCCAGCCCCAGCCCCAGCAAGACCAGCCCCUGCCCCUAGACCGGCUAAUCCCACAAGACCAGCCCCUGUCCCUAGACCAGCUAAUCCCACAAGACCAGCCCCAGAAAGACCAGCCCCUGCCCCUAGACCAGCUAAUCCCACAAGACCAGCCCCAGAAAGACCAGCCCCUGCCCCUAGACCAGCUAAUCCCACAAGACCAGCCUACCCCAACAGACCAGCAAAUUAUUACACUUGAACUAUUUACGAUCGACUCUCAGGCUCAGCAGCAUGUGGAGCCUCUACCACCCAGGAAAAGACAAACCCCACUAUCCACCCCGCGCCUACCAUCCACCCCAGGCCAAGGCAAACGAGCCCCACCAUCCAUCCAACCUCAACUAAAGAAAAGACAAAGUAAGUAAUCUUGCCUUGCA
ensembl:lncRNA